rnacentral:misc_RNA from 1 species
CGAAAUGCGAUAAGUAAUGUGAAUUGCAGAAUUCAGUGAAUCAUCGAAUCUUUGAACGCACAUUGCGCCCCCUGGUAUUCCGGGGGGCAUGCCUGUUCGAGCGUCAUUUCACCACUCAAGCCUCGCUUGGUAUUGGGCAACGCGGUCCGCCGCGUGCCUCAAAUCGACCGGCUGGGUCUUCUGUCCCCUAAGCGUUGUGGAUACUAUUCGCUAAAGGGUGUUCGGGAGGCUACGCCGUAAAACAACCCCAUUUCUAAGGUUGACCUCGGAUCAGGUAGGGAUACCCGCUGAACUUAAGC